UGCGUAGGCGGCCCGGAAAGUUGGGUGUGAAAGCCCUCGGCUCAACCGAGGAAUUGCGCCCAAAACUACCGGGCUUGAGGGACACAGAGGUAAGCGGAACUUAGGGUGGAGCGGUGAAAUGCGUUGAUAUCCUAAGGAACACCAGGAGCGAAAGCGGCUUACUGGGUGUCUUCUGACGCUGAGGCACGAAAGCUAGGGGAGCGAACGGGAUUAGAUACCCCGGUAGUCCUAGCCGUAAACGAUGAGCACUGGGUUGGAGGGUCCCCCAUAACCUUCUAGCCGUAGCGAAAGUGUUAAGUGCUCCGCCUGGGGAGUAUGGUCGCAAGGCUGAA
rnacentral:rRNA from 1 species